rnacentral:rRNA from 1 species
CCAGCCAUGCCGCGUGAGUGAUGAAGGCCUUAGGGUCGUAAAGCUCUUUCGCCUGUGAUGAUAAUGACAGUAGCAGGUAAAGAAACCCCGGCUAACUCCGUGCCAGCAGCCGCGGUAAUACGGUGGGGGUUAGCGUUGUUCGGAAUUACUGGGCGUAAAGCGCGCGUAGGCGGAUUAGUCAGUUAGAGGUGAAAUCCCAGGGCUCAACCCUGGAACUGCCUUUAAUACUGCUAGUCUUGAGUUCGAGAGAGGUGAGUGGAAUUCCGAGUGUAGAGGUGAAAUUCGUAGAUAUUCGGAGGAACACCAGUGGCGAAGGCGGCUCACUGGCUCGAUACUGACGCUGAGAUGCGAAAGUGUGGGGAGCAAACAGGAUUAGAUACCCUGGUAGUCCACACCGUAAACGAUGAAUGCCAGUCGUCGGCAAGCAUGCUUGUCGGUGACACACCUAACGGAUUAAGCAUUCCGCCUGGGGAGUACGGCCGCAAGGUUAAAACUCAAAGGAAUUGACGGGG